GACGAACGCUGGCGGCGUGCUUAACACAUGCAAGUCGAACGGAAAGGCCCUGCUUUUGUGGGGUGCUCGAGUGGCGAACGGGUGAGUAACAUGUGAGUAACCUGCCCUUGACUUUGGGAUAACUUCAGGAAACUGGGGCUUAUACCGGAUAGGAGCUCCUGCUGCAUGGUGGGGGUUGGAAAGUUUCGGCGGUUGGGGCUGGACUCGCGGCUGAUCAGCUUGUUGGUGGGGUAGUGGCUUACCAAGGCUUUGACGGGUGGCCGGCCUGAGAGGGUGACCGGCCACAUUGGGACUGAGAUACGGCCCAGACUCCUACGGGAGGGAGCAGUGGGGAAUAGUGCACAAUGGGCGGAAGCCGGAUGCAGCAACGCCGCGUGCGGGAUGAAGGCCUUCGGGUUGUAAACCGCUUUCGCCUGUGACGAAGCGUGAGUGACGGUAAUGGGUAAAGAAGCACCGGCUAACUACGUG
rnacentral:rRNA from 1 species